CUCCAUUAAAUUAAGUUUUAAAAAAAUUAAAAAAGAAAAAGUAAAGUGGAUGAGAACCCAAAACAGAAGGAAAAGAAAUAAAUAUGUUGUAUCAAUAGACACUUGGUGAAAUCUCUCUUUUGGAUUUGUUGCAAAGGUUUUCUUUGACUUAGUGUCUCAUCAAUCUUUGAAUUAUUGUAGUUCUUGUUUUGGGCAUUUGUUUUGAUAUUGCUUUCCUUCUAUACAAGAAACUAGAUUUAACUCUAAUAAGCAAAUAUACUUAUUGAAAGUACUGGAUAUGAGCUAAACUAAUUGCAAUUAUCAUACUGUAAUCAUUUGCUGAUAUAAUAAAAAGUAAGCUUUAUUACAUUUCAGUUGACAAGGCAAAUGAUUAUAAUAAAAUUUAAUUGGUAAAAGGCAGAAAAAGAGAAGAAAAAUACCAUUAAUAGAUGGGCAUGAUCCUUGUGGGUAAGAAUGAAUAGUUGAGUACCAUGAUGCUGCUUCUUCCUGGUUGUUGUUGCCUUUGUUCUUCUUCCACUCUCUGCUGGACAUGAAAGAUUCAGAACACUAACUAGUUCAUAUUAUAGAGGAGGUAAAGGAAUAAUAACGGUGUUCCCCAUCAUGUAUAUUGGUUAUUCAGUCACAACCUUCUGAGUUAUUAAAGUUGAGAUGGAAUCAUUUGGCAAGAACUUCCGCACAUGGGUAAUUUUUUAGAACUAUGACCCAAAUGAACUAAAUAGUCUAUUCAUUGUGCAGUGGAUAUAGUUAAGUGUGAGAGUUUGGACACCAAAUUGUUGUCUUUGUAUUUAUUUUAGGUUGUCAAAAUGUGCAGCUGCUAAUGUGUGCCACUUCAGGUCUGAUUUACAUAUGGUAUGUAAGCUAUCCGUAAUUGAUUCAUACGCAAUCUGUACACUUUUCUGGCUGCUAACUUGUCUAAGAUUCCUGUUGGCCUGGCAAUGUUCUAUGUUGUAUUGCUGCUUAACUAUAUUUAUCUGUUUAUUAAUUUCUUAUGAGUUAUGGCCCAGGACAGACAACUGGCGAAAGAAAUAGUUGGGAGCAGAUUUUGUUGAGUUGAGUUUUAUGUAUUUAUUUUGAAGUUUAGAUACUUGCACAUCUCAGAGUUUUAACAUUUGAGUUAACCUUAUUAGGAGAGAUCAAGAAGCCCCCUGUUUCUUGCAUACCUCGUGCAGGCCUCAGUCUCCUGAUGUUUAAAUCCCAAUCAAUUGGUUCUCUUAAAGUCCUUUUGUAUUUAAGUUUAAUAUUAUAAGCAUUUUUAUUGGUAAUUGUUAUUUUUUUGUUUACUAAAUAACUGUAUAAGAUUUACAUUACCUGAUCACUGCAAGCAGUUUUUCUGAAUUCUUUCACACGGUCUCCUCAUCUCAAAGAUUUUGAACGCUUCACAUAUUCAGUGAACCUAAUUGAGUUUGGAAUUGAACAGUUUAUGUUGUAACACGGCAAGAAACAUUUACAAAUCUAUCUGAUGUGUGGGCUAAAGAAAUGACCUGUACUUAACAAAUUAAGAUUGCAUCAAGAUGCUUGUUGGCAACAAGAUUGAUAGGAUACAUCAUACAAAAGUUUUAUUUAGAAUUCUUUCAAUUUAUGCAGGUGCUAGGAGAAAUCAAAUAAAAUUACUUGGUUUCUGAGAAAUUGUGUUAAAUUUUGCUUUGUCUCCCAAAUUUAUGAUCCAAUGUUGCAUUAUUGGAUACUGGAUAGUAUGAUGAAGUUUGUGCAAAAUAAAGGUGUACUCAGCCUCUCAACUAU